UGGGGAAUAUUGGACAAUGGGGGCAACCCUGAUCCAGCCAUGCCGCGUGUGUGAAGAAGGCCUUUUGGUUGUAAAGCACUUUAAGCAGGGAGGAGAGGCUAAUGGUUAAUACCCAUUAGAUUAGACGUUACCUGCAGAAUAAGCACCGGCUAACUCUGUGCCAGCAGCCGCGGUAAUACAGAGGGUGCGAGCGUUAAUCGGAAUUACUGGGCGUAAAGCGAGUGUAGGUGGCUCAUUAAGUCACAUGUGAAAUCCCCGGGCUUAACCUGGGAACUGCAUGUGAUACUGGUGGUGCUAGAAUAUGUGAGAGGGAAGUAGAAUUCCAGGUGUAGCGGUGAAAUGCGUAGAGAUCUGGAGGAAUACCGAUGGCGAAGGCAGCUUCCUGGCAUAAUAUUGACACUGAGAUUCGAAGCGUGGGUAGCAAACAGGAUUAGAUACCCUGGUAGUCCACGCCGUAAACGAUGUCUACUAGCCGUUGGGUCCUUGAGACUUUAGUGGCGCAGUUAACGCGAUAAGUAGACCGCCUGGGGAGU
rnacentral:rRNA from 1 species